AGUGAACGCUGGCGGUAGGCCUAACACAUGCAAGUCGAACGGCAGCACAGUAAGAGCUUGCUCUUACGGGUGGCGAGUGGCGGACGGGUGAGGAAUACAUCGGAAUCUACUUUUUCGUGGGGGAUAACGUAGGGAAACUUACGCUAAUACCGCAUACGACCUACGGGUGACAGACGGGGAUCUUCGGACCUUGCGCGAUUGCAUGAGCCGAUGUCGGAUUAGCUAGUUGGCGGGGUAAAGGCCCACGAAGGCGACGAUCCGUAGCCGGUCUGAGAGGAUGAUCAGCCACACGGGAACUGAGACACGGUCCAGACUCCUACGGUAGGCAGCAGUGGGGAAUAUUGGACAAGGGGCGCAAGCCUGAUCCAGCCAUACCGCGUGGGUGAAGAAGGCCUUCGGGUUGUAAAGCCCUUUUGUUGGGAAAGAAGAGCAGCAGGUUAAUACCCCGCUGUUCUGACGGUACCCAAAGAAUAAGCACCGGCUAACUUCGUG
rnacentral:rRNA from 1 species